rnacentral:rRNA from 1 species
UGGGGAAUCUUGGACAAUGGGGGCAACCCUGAUCCAGCCAUGCCGCGUGAGUGAWGAAGGCCUUAGGGUCGUAAAGCUCUUUCGCCUGUGAUGAUAAUGACAGUAGCAGGUAAAGAAACCCCGGCUAACUCCGUGCCAGCAGCCGCGGUAAUACGGAGGGGGUUAGCGUUGUUCGGAAUUACUGGGCGUAAAGCGCGCGUAGGCGGAUUGGAAAGUUGGGGGUGAAAUCCCGGGGCUCAACCCCGGAACUGCCUCCAAAACUGYCAGUCUAGAGUUCGAGAGAGGUGAGUGGAAUUCCAAGUGUAGAGGUGAAAUUCGUAGAUAUUUGGAAGAACACCAGUGGCGAAGGCGGCUCCUGGCUCGAUACUGACGCUGAGGUGCGAAAGUGUGGGGAGCAAACAGGAUUAGAUACCCUGGUAGUCCACACCGUAAACGAUGAAUGCCAGUGUCGGGCAGUAUACUMUUCGGUGACACACCUAA